rnacentral:rRNA from 1 species
GAUGAACGCUGGCGGCGUGCCUAAUACAUGCAAGUCGAGCGAACAGACGAGGAGCUUGCUCCUCUGACGUUAGCGGCGGACGGGUGAGUAACACGUGGAUAACCUACCUAUAAGACUGGGAUAACUUCGGGAAACCGGAGCUAAUACCGGAUAAUAUAUUGAACCGCAUGGUUCAAUAGUGAAAGACGGUUUUGCUGUCACUUAUAGAUGGAUCCGCGCCGCAUUAGCUAGUUGGUAAGGUAACGGCUUACCAAGGCAACGAUGCGUAGCCGACCUGAGAGGGUGAUCGGCCACACUGGAACUGAGACACGGUCCAGACUCCUACGGGAGGCAGCAGUAGGGAAUCUUCCGCAAUGGGCGAAAGCCUGACGGAGCAACGCCGCGUGAGUGAUGAAGGUCUUCGGAUCGUAAAACUCUGUUAUUAGGGAAGAACAAAUGUGUAAGUAACUAUGCACGUCUCGACGGUACCUAAUCAGAAAGCGACGGCUAACUACGUG